GACGAACGCUGGCGGCGUGCUUAACACAUGCAAGUCGAACGGAAAGGCCUGCUUUCCCUUGUGGAUUGCGGGUACUCGAGUGGCGAACGGGUGAGUAACACGUGAGUGAUCUGCCCCCAACUUGGGUAUAAGCCUGGGAAACUGGGUCUAAUUCCCGAUAGGACUGCAGGGUGGUGCCUGUGGUGGAAAACGAUUUUCUAGUGGUUGGGGAUGAGCUCGCGGCCUAUCAGCUUGUUGGUGGGGUAAUGGCCUACCAAGGCGCCGACGGGUAGCCGGCCUGGGAGGGUGGACGGCCACAUUGGGACUGAGAUACGGCCCAGACUCCUACGGGAGGCAGCAGUGGGGAAUAUUGCACAAUGGGCGGAAGCCUGAUGCAGCGACGCCGCGUGGGGGAUGACGGCCUUCGGGUUGUAAACUCCUUUCGACCGCGAGGAAGCCACCUGGUUGGAAGGGUGGUGACGGUAGUGGUAGAAGAAGCACCGGCUAACUACGUG
rnacentral:rRNA from 1 species